rnacentral:rRNA from 1 species
UACGUAGGUGACCAGCGUUGUCCGGAUUUACUGGGCGUAAAGAGCGCGCAGGCGGUCGUUCAAGUCGAGUGUGAAAGCCCCCGGCUCAACUGGGGAGGGUCAUUCGAUACUGAUCGACUUGAAGGCAGGAGAGGGAAGUGGAAUUCCCGGUGUAGUGGUGAAAUGCGUAGAUAUCGGGAGGAACACCAGUGGCGAAGGCGACUUCCUGGCCUGUUCUUGACGCUGAGGCGCGAAAGCUAGGGGAGCAAACAGG